rnacentral:lncRNA from 12 species
UGAGAAGUGGGGUACCCUGCACAAGGCAAUCUGAAGGUGUGCCAAACUCAAAUGUGAGCUCGGAGUGCAGGGAGAGAACUGUUGUCUUCACAGCAGUGCUUACAAAGGUGGGUCCAGCCCUGCUGAAAACCAGCACCUUGUCUGCAGGGAUGGCCAAACUGAGCAUGCAGCCCGUGGUGCUCCCUGAAGAGCGAC